rnacentral:pre_miRNA from 1 species
UCUUCAUUUCUCGUGCUCUCUCACCGGUCAGAGAAGCGAGAGAGUGUGCGAAAUGACGAGA